CCUAUUUUGCGGCUUAGUGCUGAUUCUCCAGUGGUGACAGUUCAGAAUUGGGUGGAGAGAGAUUAUUCAGUUGUUAAUGUUCAAUGCAAGGAUCGAAUGAAACUUUUGUUCGAUGUUGUUUGCACCUUGACAGACAUGGAAUAUGUUGUGUUUCAUGCCACAAUCAACACAGCUGGGGACAGAGCAUAUCUGGAAUUCUACAUUAAACACACUGAUGGAACCCCAAUUAGUUCAGAGCCGGAAAGGCAGCGGGUAAUUCAGUGUUUACAAGCUGCAGUUGAGAGAAGAGCAUCCGAGGGUGUAAGGCUAGAGUUAUGCACUCCAGAUAGACAAGGCCUUUUAGCAGAUGUGACAAGAACUUUUAGAGAGAAUGGUCUUAAUGUGACAAGGGCUGAGAUAUCCACUUCAAGUGAGAUGGCUGUAAACGUAUUCUAUGUAACAGAUGCAAUUGGUAACCCUGCAGAUCCUAGGGUAAUUGACUCCGUUCGACAGAAAAUUGGAUUGAGUAAUUUGAAAGUUAAGGAAUUGCCCCCACUGGUAUACCAUCAAGAGGCGCAAAGGGAAGAGCAGGGGUUAGGAGUUGCUGGGACAGUGUUGCUAUCACUUGGGGACCUAGUGAGAAGGAAUCUGUACAACUUGGGAUUGAUCAGAUCAUAUUCUUAAAGUGGAACAUAAAAGGUAAUUUGGAUUAAGAAAGAGAUUUGUGAUAUUCUUUGCUUCAGGUUUGGGCUUGUGUUGUGUACAUACGGCAAAAGGUGGAAUUUGGUGAUAGUAGCAUUAGUAGUAGUUGGUUUGGUUGGUUGAAUAGAUAGAGACAGAUUGGGGGUUUGGUCCACCACCAUAUAAUAUACAUAUUAUAUAUUUGAAAGAUAGAUAUUGCUUGGUUUGAAGGAAAGAUCUGAAAUUGAAGAAGGAAAUACUGAUGAAUAGAAGAAAGUAAAGAUGGUGUGGGUGGAGGAUUGUGAUAAUUGAAUAUAAGCAUUGUGCUGGCAGAAACAGAAAAAAUUAGGUAGAUUUGAAAACAAUGC
rnacentral:misc_RNA from 1 species